rnacentral:lncRNA from 1 species
UUGCUGCCUACUGCAAGACUGCUUCGGUGGUCCUCCCCAGCCGGCUGGGCCACCUGGGCCACCUGGGCCUCCUCCCCCACCCCCUUCUGCACCUCCUCCGCUAGCACCUGGGCCUCCUCUUCCGCCUGGUCCGCCUCUGGGACCUUUUUUCGGUCCACCAGACCCACCAGGUUCUCCUGGACCACCUGGUUUCCCACCAGGACCUCCUGGCCCACCUGGUGGCCCACCAGGACCUCCUGGCCCACCUGGUGGCCCACCAGGACCUCCUGGCCCACCUGGAUGGUGACAGGGGCCCUCAACUUCUAACCCAUAUUUCACCUUAUUUGCUAGAGAUGUGUGUAUUGAGAGUUGAACCAGUUUUCUUGGGUUUCUCUCUUU